rfam:Megasphaera sp. TPII 135-E contig00003, whole genome shotgun sequence.
AUGAAUCUUCAGGGCAGGGUGCAAUUCCCGAUCGGCGGUAUAGUCCGCGAGCGCGUUAGCGCAGGAUUUGGUGCAAUUCCAAAACCGACAGUAUAGUCUGGAUAGAAGAAGGUGAAA